ensembl:lncRNA
AGCAUUUCCUGCUGCAGCAGUGUAGCCUCCACAAGGAAAAAAACAGGAAUAAGAAACUACUGAGCAAGAUCUGUCACUGAGUUGCCUUCAAGCUUUCGUGUUGCCAUGGACGACAAUCAGAAGAGAAUCUGCACUAAGCUUUACCUUUCUGCCUUGCCCCCUCCCACCUCCAGCCCUGCCUCCAAGGUACCAGCAUUCCCAAUACUUGUUCAUGAGCUUUUGGAAAGAAAUCUGUCCCCAAAGGAAAAGAUGGGGUGGGGAUGAAAGGGAAAAGUGUUUGCAUAUCAGUAUUUUCAGUGAUAUUAGCAGAGGAUUACGCUCAAUAGUACAUGGCAUCAGAAACAGAACAUAAUCGGCAGGAAUAACAGACAGAAGUUGUUUAUUAAGGAAGAAAACAUGUCAGGGGACAGAUGACUUAAGGAAAUGAUGCAAGUGCUUUAGUAAAAGGACAAAUGAGGUCAUACAAUAUUAUUAUACUUUGAGAAAUGAGCUUAAGUGCCAACUCAGUCCUUAGACAAACAUAUACAAAAUCAGGCAAGGCUACAGCAACCAUUUUUUGUCAUAUUCUCAUUAAAAAGGAAGACCUAGUAAUAAUUUCAAUACAUUCCUCUAGCUGCAUUCUUUGCAGUUGUUGGCACUUGGUACAGGACUUCUCGUAUGGUUUAAAACUACGAAGCGAUUCUUUUUCUUUUCCUUAAUGUGUAGGUAGAGGUCACCUCUUUGCAGAAUGAGUGAAUUAAGAGGGGCAGCCUCAGCUGUGGUGUGACCAGGCUGCCUUCCUACUGGGGGUCGAUGGGCUUCCUCAAAACAAUCCCCGCUUUCACUAGUGCCUGUGCCCCCCUGCUCAGGAGGGUGUGCUCCAGAGAAGCAGCCUGGCUUCACAAGGAAAAGAAAGAAGCCUUUAAUUUCAGCCCUAGAGUGAUCACACCCUUUUCAAACACCCCAGGCUCCAGUGGGGCUAAUGUUCAGGGGAGGCCAGAAUUUGACAAGCUCAAUAGCACUGUGAGCCCACACCUGAAUUUAGAACUUGGCCUGAGAGAUGGUGUUGGGACCCUGGCAAAUCAAAUCAGGCCUGAGGACAAGGUUGGAGAGUAUCAAAUACCAAGUGGAGCGAACUGAUGUGCUCCUAAAAGGGUGAGCUGAAUACAGGUGAAAACAACAAAGCUUUCGUACCUUCCUGGAAAAGAUACCACCUCACAUCUGCCAGCGAAACAGAGAAACUGCUCGACUGGCUGCUCCUGUCCACAGACUGACCUUUUCUUUCUCCCUUUCUUUCCCUUUCUUUCUCUUUCUUCUUUUCUUCUUUCUUUCUUCGUUCCUUUGCUUCCUUUCUUUUCUUUCUUCCUUUCCUUCUUUCUUCGCUUCCUUCCUUCCUUCCCUCCUAUUCCUUAUGGUCCAUUUUCUUAAGACAGGAUUGUCGGUCAGUGUCCCUAUUCUAAGUGACAAGGAAAAUCCUGUUCCUGCAAGUUCUUUAACAAAAUGGAGAUGUUUACCUUUGAUUUGAAGAUAUUAUGAAAUAGGGAGCAAUAAAAAAAGUUGAUUAACAUUCUUUAAUCUAAUUGGCAUGAUGAGGCUUUCAUUAAUGGCCAAUCUCAGAGGCAGAUUUUGCCUUUAUAAUGGCAUUUCAUGCUUCAUGCUAUUAAAUGGUCACGGGACUACCUUAUAAGAUUCAUGUGGAUUCACAGAGCAAAUUGACUCCCUCCCAGCUGUGCUGGAAAUUCACCAUGUUCAAUUCAUCAGCUUUCUAUGAGAAAAAAAGUGAAAGGCUGAGUCUGUGGACAGUGGGUUCUAAACUGUACGAGAACCCGAGUGAAGGGUUUUCCUGCUCCAGCUGCAAGUGGGGCUCUGCUCUCUCACUGUGGCUGAUAAUUCACUACCGCAUGAGGUACAGUGACUUGUCAACUUCUAGUCUGGACCAACAUACAUGGAUAGAGAACAAAAAGGAAAUACAUAACUUAUAUUUCACUAAAUAUUCAUGAACCAAAAAUAAAUUCUAUUUCUAUGUUAUAUUUACACAAUUAGAAAAAUCUAAAAUGAGAUGGUAAAAUCAUUAAAACUUUGUUUAAGCCCCACUGAAAAUAAAAUGAAGUGAUCCCUAUGAUUGUCAUUCUUAAUUUCCAUGGAUAUUUAGAGCCAAACUUGGCUAAUAAAUAGAAUAAACUGCUUAUGUGCAGAAUUUAGAUUCAAAUACAGCAUCACUGUUUGAC